rnacentral:rRNA from 1 species
AUUGAACGCUGGCGGCAGGCCUAACACAUGCAAGUCGAGCGGAUGAAGGGAGCUUGCUCCUGGAUUCAGCGGCGGACGGGUGAGUAAUUCCUAGGAAUCUGCCUGGUAGUGGGGGAUAACGUCCGGAAACGGGCGCUAAUACCGCAUACGUCCUUAUGGAGAAAGUGGGGGAUCUUCGGACCUCACGCUAUCAGAUGAGCCUAGGUCGGAUUAGCUAGUUGGUGGGGUAAAGGCCUACCAAGGCGACGAUCCGUAACUGGUCUGAGAGGAUGAUCAGUCACACUGGAACUGAGACACGGUCCAGACUCCUACGGGAGGCAGCAGUGGGGAAUAUUGGACAAUGGGCGAAAGCCUGAUCCAGCCAUGCCGCGUGUGUGAAGAAGGUCUUCGGAUUGUAAAGCACUUUAAGUUGGGAGGAAGGGCAGUAAGUUAAUACCUUGCUGUUUUGACGUUACCAACAGAAUAAGCACCGGCUAACUUCGUG